CCCCCCCCCCCCACACACAACGUUGUGUGAUGUUUUGCAGUGUGCACGCCUGUUUCGUGGGCAUUCGGCUUUGACGGGGAAUUUCUUUCUCCACGCUCUCGCUGGUUGAAUCCUUGCUGUUCGGAGCUCAGUGUAAGGAGCACAGAUGUCGCACUGAACUGAGCCAUUGGCUGGAUGAUGUUGCCGUGCAACUCACCUUAUCCUUGUUUCACAUUCACUGCAUCUGAUCAAGGAGUUGUCCCAUCUAAGGAUACAUGUAUUUCACGAACUGGUGGAACAUGGAACAGUGUGGGCUUCACUACCGCAUAUUGUCUGUUCCAGUCUCGCUGAGGCAAGGUCUAUUCAUGCACAUGCUUUGAUGUGUAUGCAACUGCUGGUAUGUGCCAGCAUGUUUUUAGACCGUAGGUACAUAGCACCCUGGACUGUGACUGUGUGUUGCCGCUCUGACCAUGCAUUGUCACCUGGAACUUGCACAACCUGGGUUUCGAAACAAACUUUGUUUUCGGGUGUUUUUGUCUUGUGUCAGCUCCCUGUAUGUGUUUAAUACUGUGGCUAAUGUUAUUACUGUUUGUCCUUUGC